rnacentral:rRNA from 1 species
CCUACGGGAGGCAGCAGUGGGGAAUAUUGCACAAUGGGGGAAACCCUGAUGCAGCGACGCCGCGUGAGUGAAGAAGUAUUUCGGUAUGUAAAGCUCUAUCAGCAGGGAAGAAGCAAGACGGUACAUGUCUAAGAAGCCCCGGCUAACGACGUGCAAGCAGCCGCGGUAAUACGUGGGGGGCAAGCGUUAUCCGGAUUUACUGGGUGUAAAGGGAGCGUAGACGGUAUGGCAAGUCUGAAGUGAAAGCCCAGGGCUUAACCCUGGGACUGCUUUGGAAACUGUUAGACUGGAGUGCUGGAGAGGUAAGUGGAAUUCCUAGUGUAGCGGUGAAAUGCGUAGAUAUUAGGAGGAACACCAGUGGCGAAGGCGGCUUACUGGACAGUAACUGACGUUGAGGCUCGAAAGCGUGGGGAGCAAACAGGAUUAGAUACCCCUGUAGUC